UUUCAGGAGAAAUGAUGACUGUAAAGUGAGGAGGUAGAAUCUGUGUAUUCAUUAUUUAGCUUGAAAGCACUAACUUGCGUCAACCCAUACUUGAUAUUUUGAUGGUGGACAAAUAAUGGCAUUUAUUCAGGCAGGGAGUAGAGCCAGUGCAAAGGUACAGAGACUUGAAGGGACAGGAUAUAGCAGAAAAUUAGUGGUGUGCAGUAUUGCUUGAGCAACAUUUGCAAGGAG
rnacentral:lncRNA from 1 species